CAAACACCCCCGAAGUCCCUCCCCUGCCGGCCGCACCUUCUCCGUCCCGUCCUUGUCAACAGCUCGCUUCUCUCUCCUCCGACGCUUCGUGCUCGUCCCAACUCUGGUGGGUGGUGGUAGACGGCCGGCGACGAGGCCAUCCUUUGUCGUCUUCAGUGAGCAAGGUGAAUCCAGCCAUGGUGCAGGUGCAGUCAGUUGCCAAGGAGUUUCUGGUGGCCCCUGCACUGCAGCAGCAAUGAAGAUCGCGAGAGGCCAAUCCAGCCAAGCUGCGGUUGCGGUUGCAGUUUAGUUUCCACAUUUUUGGGGUUUAGUUUAGCUGAACCCCCAUGUCCGACGUCGAGGCUGCCUCCUUGUUAGAGGAGUUGGCGAGGGAGGCGACAAUUGAUGAUGUGGCUGUUCUCGUGAAUGGGAAUGGCGAAGAGCAACAUGGCAAUGAAGCAGUGCUGAAAAGUGCUGAGGCGCUCCAGAAUUUGGGAGGGAUUUCGGCCAAGGAGGUGCCUCAGCACGAGGGCAAGGAGGUGAUACUCGUGGAUGAUAACGACAGCGGGCAGGAGGAUGGUGGGAAGGCUAAGGUGGAUGAGAACGCGCCACGUUUCGGGCUGAGAUUCAAAACUUAUGAUGAUGCGCUCAAGUACUAUAAGCAAUAUGCCGAGGAUUCUGGGUUUGCGGCGAUCAUUCUGAAGUCAUCGUAUCUAAAGUCGGGGGUGUGCCGAAGGUUGGUGCUUGGUUGUAGUCGAGCUGGGAGAGGGAGAGCAAAUGCGUGCUAUCUGUCUAGAGAGUCAACCAAGAUCAAUUGCCCAGCAAGGAUCUCGUUAAAGUUAAGGCAAGAUAGGUGGCUUCACAUUGAUGAUGCUAAGCUUGAGCACAACCAUCCACUUAACCAGUCCUCUGUGGCACUCACUAAUUGUUACAAGAAGCUAACAGAUGCCAAGAAUGGGGAACCUGCUUCACGGUUGAAGGGUCGCAGGAACGUUCCAGCUGAAAAAGAGCAAGGGAACUUUACUGAGAUAGGAAGACUUAAAUUUGGGGAAGGAGAUGACGAGUAUAUCCAGAAGUUUUUUGGGAACAUGCAGAACAAGAAUCCUUAUUUCUUCUACUUAGUUGAUUUGGAUUAUCAAGGGCGUUUGAGGAACUUGUUCUGGAGUGAUGCUAGGUCAAGGGCAGCAAAUGAUUACUUCGGUCAUGAUGUUGUUUACUUUGACACCUCGUACUUGACAGAAAAAUACGAUUUGCCACUUGUUUUCUUCACUGGGAUGAAUAAUCAUGGUCAGCCUGUUCUGUUUGGUACUGGUUUACUUUCAGAUCUAAAUGCUGACAGUUAUGCUUGGUUAUUUAGGGCAUUUUUAGCAUGCAUGAAGGGUCGCUGUCCAAUGGCAAUCAUUACUGAGCAUUACAAUGCUAUUCUAGAUGCUGUUCGAGAAGUUCUACCUGAAGUUAGACAUCGCCUUUGCCUGUAUCGUAUUAUGAAAGAUGUAGCUGAGAAUUUGAAAGAACAUGCAGAGUUUAAAACAAUCAAGAAAGCACUGAAUAAAGUAACAUAUGGGUCUUUGAAGAUCCCAGAGUUUGAAGCGGAUUGGAAGAAGAUUAUAGAUGAGCAUGGACUUGGAGAAAAUGAGUGCCUCAGUUCCCUAUAUGAGCAUCGCCAACUCUGGGCACCUGCAUAUCUCAGAGACAAAUUCUGGGCAGGGAUGUCUAUUUCACAGCAUGGGGAGUCUAUUUCCUCGUACUAUGAUGGUUUUGUGUACCCAAAAACUUCUUUGAAACAAUUUUUCAGUAAAUAUGAGAUGAUAUUAGAGAACAAAUACAAGAAGGAGUGGCAAGCAGAUGAAGAAUCCUCCCAUAGGACUCCACUAACAGUAACGAAGUUCUACAUGGAAGAGCAGCUGGCCAAAGCCUACACAAUAAAUAUGUUCAGAAAAUUUCAGGAUGAGUUGAAAGCCACAAUGUAUUGUGAUGGUAUGCCAAUUAAAGUUGAUGGUCGGCUUGUCACUUUUGAAGUAAAAGAAUGCUCGUACAUGGAAGAUGGAAAGGACACAGAGAGCAGGACCUAUGAAGUUUACUUUUGUAAAGAAGGGAAGGUUGAAAUUGAGUGUGAAUGUGGUUUCGUUCAGUUCACUGGCGUCCUAUGUAGACAUGCAUUAUCUGUGUUGAAGUUGCAGGAGAUAUUUGAGAUCCCAUCAGAUUAUGUUCUUGAUCGCUGGAGAAGGGACUAUAAAAAAUUGUAUUCUAAAGCAAACAAACCCAAUGAAAUGCCCCUUAGUGGAAUUGUUGAGCGCUCUGAUUAUUUGUUCAGUCAAUGUAGUCAGUUGCUCAAUCUAGGGUUUGUAUCUGAGAGUAGGUACCUUGUUGCUCUGAAGUUACUGAGAGAUGCGGAAAGAUCUCUUCUAGAUGAUGGACUACCUGCUAGAGACAGGCAGUCAACGCUUCUUUCAUUUGAGGCUGAUGCACCAGAAAAUGGUCAAGGCCUUUUUAAUCCCCAGUUUUCAGAGAGUGUAAAGAAUUCUCAGUCAGCCCAUGCAAAACGUCGCGGCCGGCCACCGAAGAAAGUGACAGAAUCUAAUGGUGAAACUGUAACACAGCCAAACAAAGAACAGGAUUUUCUGCGGUCAUCAUUUGUCACAGACGAUACAAAUAUGGUCCAAGGGCCGCCCUCUGCCUCCCAUCUUGAAGGUCCUCACAUGGGAGUGCAAGGAGGCAUUGAUUUAAUGGAAGGAAUACCAAAUCUCUCAUUUGGUAAUCAUUUUGGAAUGGAUAUUAAUCACCAACAUCAAGUACCCAGCCACCAAAGGAUGCAGCAGAACAAUUUCAUGCAGGUGCAGCCAGAACCCCAUGGGUUUGCGAGUCAGUGGGUUUACCACCCAAUGUUGCAGGAUAAUCCAGUGCUAAGAACUCCUACGCGAAGAACAGGGUAGCGCGUGUUCUUUGCUUUAAUAUUUCAGUAGAAUUUUAGAAAGUAUUCAGGUGUAUGGAGGGCGAGUGAUUAUCAUGGCGAGUUCAUGCACUCAUGUGAUGUACAAUGACUUCUCUGACUCCUGUAAUGACUGCCUGAAAUCCUGAACUAACCUGAGGAUAUGGAUGCCGAGGCACACUACUAAAGGCAAGAACUUGGCGGAGGGUCCACUGGAUGCUAACUUUUUGGUUAUCUGAUACUGUUAGCUGCUGUCGCCAGGCUGAAAUUUUCAAGCUGUACAUAACCAUUAGCCCAUGUGUACAUCUUCCAGCGCCACAGAUUAGACUAUUAGAGGAUUUUGAGCGCGCCUGCAAAGUUUUAGUGGUCUGAAUACUUGUGGAUAAGGCACUGCAACACGCAAUUAGGAUUUUCCUUUGCCCUCUGGCAGUGGUUUUUGAAGCCUGUAAGAUUGGCACGGUCACAAGUAUUAUCAGCGUGUCAGAACAUGUGUGCACCAGUUCCCUUAAUGCGCUCCAGUUUUGAUAAUGUGACAAUGUUCAGUGGACGUAUUGUUAAUUGGGUGCUUAUUGGUUA